GACGAACGCUGGCGGCGUGCUUAACACAUGCAAGUCGAACGGAAAGGCUCCAGCUUGCUGGAGUACUCGAGUGGCGAACGGGUGAGUAACACGUGGGUAAUCUGCCCUGCACUCUGGGAUAAGCCUGGGAAACUGGGUCUAAUACUGGAUAUGACCUUUCUCCUUAUGGGGUUUGGUGGAAAGUUUUUCGGUGUAGGAUGAGUCCGCGGCCUAUCAGCUUGUUGGUGGGGUGAUGGCCUACCAAGGCGACGACGGGUAGCCGGCCUGAGAGGGUGAUCGGCCACAUUGGGACUGAGAUACGGCCCAGACUCCUACGGGAGGCAGCAGUGGGGAAUAUUGCACAAUGGGCGGAAGCCUGAUGCAGCGACGCCGCGUGAGGGAUGACGGCCUUCGGGUUGUAAACCUCUUUCAGCAGGGACGAAGCGUAAGUGACGGUACCUGCAGAAGAAGCACCGGCUAACUAUGUG
rnacentral:rRNA from 1 species